GACGAUCGCUGGCGGCGUGCCUAAUACAUGCAAGUAGAACGCUGAAGAGAGGAGCUUGCUCUUCUUGGAUGAGUUGCGAACGGGUGAGUAACGCGUAGGUAACCUGCCUUGUAGCGGGGGAUAACUAUUGGAAACGAUAGCUAAUACCGCAUAACAAUAGGUGACACAUGUCAUUUAUUUGAAAGGGGCAAUUGCUCCACUACAAGAUGGACCUGCGUUGUAUUAGCUAGUAGGUGAGGUAACGGCUCACCUAGGCGACGAUACAUAGCCGACCUGAGAGGGUGAUCGGCCACACUGGGACUGAGACACGGCCCAGACUCCUACGGGAGGCAGCAGUAGGGAAUCUUCGGCAAUGGGGGCAACCCUGACCGAGCAACGCCGCGUGAGUGAAGAAGGUUUUCGGAUCGUAAAGCUCUGUUGUAAGUCAAGAACGAGUGUGAGAGUGGAAAGUUCACACUGUGACGGUAGCUUACCAGAAAGGGACGGCUAACUACGUG
rnacentral:rRNA from 1 species